rnacentral:rRNA from 2 species
GCGGAGGAAAAGAAACCAACAGGGAUUGCCUUAGUAACGGCGAGUGAAGCGGCAACAGCUCAAAUUUGAAAUCUGGCCCUUGGGUCCGAAUUGUAAUUUGUAGAGGAUGAUUUUGGUGCGGUAUCUUCCGAGUUCCUUGGAACAGGACGCCUUAGAGGGUGAGAGCCCCGUACGGUUGAAUGCCUAGCCUCUGUAAAUCUCCUUCGACGAGUCGAGUAGUUUGGGAAUGCUGCUCUAAAUGGGAGGUAAAUUUCUUCUAAAGCUAAAUAUUGGCCAGAGACCGAUAGCGCACAAGUAGAGUGAUCGAAAGAUGAAAAGCACUUUGAAAAGAGGGUUAAAUAGCACGUGAAAUUGUUGAAAGGGAAGGAUUUGUGACCAGACUUUUUCUGGGCGGAUCAUCCGGGGUUCUCUCCGGUGCACUUCGCCCAGUAAAGGCCAGCAUCGGUUUUCGGCGUGGGAUAAAAGCAGUAGGAAUGUGGCUCUCUACGGGGAGUGUUAUAGCCUAUUGUAUAAUACCGCGCUGGGGACCGAGGUUCGCGCUUCUGCAAGGAUGCUGGCGUAAUGGUUAUCAAUCACCCGUCUUG